CUUUCCCAUAGAGGUGUUGUGGGUGUGACUGCUGUGUCACAUGUAUAUAAGUAUAUGGCAGAGAGGAGAGAGGCUGUGUCUAUGCUUUAGUGUUCGGACCUAUGAAGAUCUGAAUGAUUGGUAGGCUAACAUU
ensembl:snoRNA Gm22469 predicted gene, 22469